CUAGGUCUUUUGGCUGGCAGCCAUUUUGUGCUGGCAGCCUUUGGGGAACCAGUUAGAAGAACACAUUAAAUGUCCUCUCAAUGCUGUUUCUAAGAUCCUGAAGAUUUUUCUCCUCAGCCCCUCUUGCUUAAGAAAAAGCUUCAGAGAGACAUGUCAAAACCCAGAUGCCUUCUCCCUCUCCCACCAUGCCCCCUCAAUUCUCACUGUGUUUGACUGGCUACAGGGCACAGUGCCCUAAGAUCAAACUGCAGUUCAGCCAGAUAGCUGUGUCCUCUGUCACAACCUGGGAACUGUUACACAAUGUGGAUAACAUGCUAGGAUUUUCAAUAAAAGACCAAAUGCCUAACUGUAAUGCAUGCCUUGUGUUGAAUAUAGCAAAAGCAUGCACAAUGUAUUAAAAUGACUGAAGUUGCUUAAUUAUUAAUGUUUUAACCUUGUAAUACAUCAUUGUUGCUUAGUCAAGAAUGUAAAAACCAUUAUUAAA